UAUUGCGUGCCGCUAUCGAUUUUCAUUGAUGCUACAGUAUACACUUUAUUUAUUUUUGAGUUUUGAGCCUUUAUAAGAAGUUUCUUACUUUAGCUGUAUUUCAUUGGUACCACCAAAACGAUAGGUACUUAAUAUACAUUUCUUUUAAUGGUCCUCUAGGACCAUAAUAGAUACGUGUCGAUUUUUCUACUCUUUAAAAUCGGUCCUGAUUUAAAGGUGUCAUUCCUUUGUGUAUCUGUUUCUAAUAGAAGAAUGAGUGAUUUGUUCAAUCUCUAAGGUAUUAUGGCCUCACUACUCGAUUUUCGAGGGCUAACGGCUUAAGCAAAACUAUAAGCUUGAAAAUUUGUACAAGUUAUGAAAGAAAUGAAGAUGGAACAUUAUUAGGGCAAUAUUUCAGGUCAGUUUCAAUCACUUCUCAUUCUUCUUCUAGAACUCUUUCUUUUAGCUAAAACUAGCAUUUUUUUUUAAUAUUAAAACAAAGUUGUGCCUUGGGUGUUUUUGUAUUAUGAAGUGAAAAUAACAAAAAUAGUUGAUAUGAGAUAAAAUAAUUCUUGUUUUUGUUUUUAUGUUAUUUAAAAUAAAGUUAAUAUAAUGGUUAGGUUUUUAUAUCUACAAAAUGAGUUAAAAAAAAAGUGUAGAAAUUACAAGGAUUUUAGUUCUUUUUUUUUUAUAUAUAUAAUAAAAAGGAGUGGAAAUAACUAGGUUAGAAUUUCUAGUUUUUUUUAUUUAUUUACAAGAGAUCUUUGAAUUUAUAAACAAUGAAAGACUUAGAUAAAGAGGUGCAAUUCAAAACAUGUCUUUUUUUCUCAUUUAUUUGCACCUUCAAAUUCCCAAUAUAUAUUACUAUCUACUACUACUAAAAAAAAAUUUUUUUUUUAAAGCAUAUUAUAAUGACUAGGCACCUGUGUGGGUCAACCGAUCGAUACUCAUGUUAAAAAGAUAUGUAAUUAGUUAUAGAAUAGUAUAUUUUUUGAAUUAGGAAUUAAAUGAAAAAAUAAAAAGAUGCAAUGAUUAGGACAUUUCUUAAAUUGUUUUGUCGUUUUAGGAUAUUAAAAAGAGGAGUUCUUGCCUUUUUGGAACUCCAGGAUUCAUUCUCUGAAAUAAAAACGAAACACAGAAAAUUUUUUGUCUUCUUCACUUUAGAUUUAUACAGUGUAGUUUGUCUUUAUAUGUUAUUAUAUAAUUUGACGAGUGAAACAAAUUUCAUAUAUUAUAGGAAAUAGUUUCUUAUUGAAAUAGUGAAAAUAUUUUUAACAAUACUAUUUUAUCUUUUUUUAUUAAUUCAGUCAAAAUAUCUAUAAUAAAUUUCCUUUCUACUCGUUUAUAUGACUCACUUUUCUUUUUAGUCCAUUUUAAAAUAUACAUUUUUGUACUUUGUAAUAGUUUAAAAAUGUUUAUUUUUACAUUUCAUAAAAUAAUGUAUAGUCUGAGCAACAUCUAUGACAUUUUUUAGAUCACAAAUUUGAAAAAUCAUUCUUUAUUUUUUAAAUUCUAUGCUGCAAGCAGUGACGGAGUUUAAGAUUUUUAAUAAGUGAGUUCAAAAUCUGAAGAACUAAACACAUGAACAACUAAUCGAAGUGGGUUCAACAUCUACUGUAUAUACAAAAAAAUAUUUUUAACCUUAUAUAAAUAGUACUCCCUCUGUCCCAAUUUUUAUGUGGCCUACAUUCAUUUUCAGUCAAUCUAAAAAAGAAUGACAUAUUUCUAUAUGAAGUAACAAUUUGACGGUAAAAUGUUUAUUUUUUCCUUGAUUGAAUAAUUUACAAUCACAAAAAUUCUAUCGUUCAUUUGGACCACAGGUUUUAACAGUUUUCCUUUUUUCUCUUAAAUUUCUUGUCAAGUCAAACUACCUCACAUAAAAUGAGACGGAGGAAGUAAUAUUUUUCGCCGGGGAUGAAUUUGGUCGCAAGUCAAACUAAUUGAUAUAAAUUGAGACAUAAAAAAUACGAAAUCUGUUAGAAGUGAAAAUCGUGUGUUUUAUUCAAUUCUUCACUUUCUAUCAAGCAAAAAAAAAAGUUUGUUGUUGCUACUAGAGGGAAAAGUGAUGAUGAUAAUGUAGAUUGGUUAAUCAUUCUAUAGAAGUUAGAUCAGGCCAAUAUUUGGGCUUUUAAGAAGUUUGCUAAAUGAAGUAAAAAUAUGUCCUUAAGCCUAAUAGUCCAACUCAGAACAACAGGCCCCUGGCCCAUUUAUAUUGUUCACUCCAGCUUUUUGGGGAUAUUCUCGUACUCCAAGCUAAAUAAAAUAUUAUUUGACCUUUGAACAAUAUUUUGUUGAAUUUCAAAAAAAAAAAAAAGAAAGAAAGA